AGAAGAAUGCAGAUUAAGUUAAAAAGAAAUAGCGAUCAUUAUCCUUUCCAUCUUUGAUACUGCUGCUCUUGAGAAUAAAAGAAGGAGAAAGCCAAAUCCUUCUACCCUCUACCUCAACUUCAAAAAUGAGAUCCAUAUUGGUACAAUAAGAAGGACUAAAAUCUCCUUUCUUACUAUUGCUGAAAACACAAAGACCUACAGCUGUUCAUAUUCAGUGACAUCCUGAUCUCUGUUACAUCAAGCCUACAUGAUGUAGCUUUACACCACCUCUCCAAGUUUCAUGCACCAGUUUCAGCAGAUUCCUCGUACUAGAAACCUUCCAAGGGGACUUCAGAUGUGAAAACACAGAGAAGACCAAAUAAACUCUUCAUACUUUAUUCAGAAAUAUACGGCUUGAGAGAAAAACAGCUCAGCCAGGACUUAACAGUGCCUUUGCCUCAGAGCAGCCUGUGAGUGCUGACAGUGCUUCAUUUUACGCACCGAAGAGGUAGGAGGACUCCCUGGAGAGCACCUCUUACAUUCAAGAUGCUGACAUGUUGGACUUUCUCAUAUAGCUUCAGAUUUCAAGUGAGGAAGAGUUAGAACAAGGUUGUUCCAUGUGAUGGUAGCAAUAUGAGGUGUUCAGCACUGAUUCCAAGUGUGGAUCUGAGGAAGGAGGUCUUCAUGGAGUUGCACUUGAAGCUUCAGAGAAAUGCUCAUGCCAGGCCCCAUCAGGGAGAGGACUGUGCCAGUUCAGAAAUGAGUUGUGAUUGUGAUCUGAAAGGCUGCUGCUUCACAAUGCUGCAAGUACCCGCCUAACAAAUUAAACUUUCACAAGUCAAUGAAAAGUGGUGCAGGAGUCAACUUUGUGGUACUCAUUGAUGGUACUCAUUUAUGUAAAUACUGCUGUGCUGUACGAGGUCAGAAAUUACUUGGAAGCGAUACAGCAACUUUAUUGUUCACUCAUGAACUCAAAAGCUCAACUGAAAGAGGCAGUCAACUUAAAUUCUUCUGUUGAGCCUUCUUCGAGGCUUUUUUGCUGCUUGUGUAAUGGCAGUGCAUGUUUGCUAUAUGGGUUGUGCUGUGCAGCUGGAGUGAUCUGAGGUUUAGUGACUGUCCAAGAUAUGAAUUUAUUCUCCUUUUAGGACCUAAUCUUCACUGUUCUGACCUAUAGAAACAUAACAUGAAAUUCAAGCAUCUUACAGAACAAAUUUUAUUUGCAAGGCUGGCACUGACAGAAUUGACAGGUGCACUACAGUAGCAGCUACCUACACAACUACUUAGAUGUCAGUGAUUAAUGCCAUCCAUGUUGCCACUCCAGAUUUUUCCAACCAAAUGCCUGCAGGUGAGAGUUUUCCUCAAGAGGAAUCAAAGAAAUUCAGCUGCCUUUUGCUGCUUUCAGAGCCCUGGGUGGGUUCUCCCCCUCCUAACUCUCCUGGGAUUGGGCUGCCUGGGCUGAGGGCCUUAAUGCAGUUCCCUGGCCUUGAGGCACCUCAGCGGGAGCCCUGCCAAUGCUUGGGAGCCACCUUGAAGUCCCAGCCCUGUCCCAGUCAUGGACCUUAUUCCCCCAGUUCACCACCCCAACCAUAUGUACUGCUCUGCUAAAAAAAAAUUAAAAAAUUGUGUUGCUACACUAAGAAAAUUUAUAGUGGUAUAGUCUUAAAAAAACACAAUGCAGUGCUGAGUUUUUCAACCCUGAAACUAAGUGGGAAGAGAUUGCCUACUGAAGGCAUAUUAAACACAGAUGUAAUCUGUAGCUUAGGAAAUUUGUUGAUUUUUUGAAAGCUGGGAGAGUAUACUGAGAAAAAAUCAUUACUGUGUUUG